AGGUAACGUCAUUUACAAGGGUAUUAGCCUUGAUGAUUUCCUCCCUACUGAAAGUGCUUUACAACCCUCAGGCCUUCUUCACACACGCGGCAUUGCUGGAUCAGGGUUGCCCCCCAUUGUCCAAUAUUCCCCA
rnacentral:rRNA from 1 species